GAUGAACGCUGGCGGCGUGCUUAACACAUGCAAGUCGAACGUGAGAGGUUAGCAAUAAUCUUGAAAGUGGCGCACGGGUGAGUAAUACGUAGGUAACCUGCCCUGGAGUGGGGGAUAACAACUGGAAACGGUUGCUAACACCGCAUAAUACCGGAUGUCUGGGAAGACGACUGGUAAAGACUCUGGUGCUUCAGGAGGGGCCUGCGGCCGAUUAGCUAGUUGGCGGGGUAAGAGCCCACCAAGGCAUUGAUCGGUAGCUGGUCUGAGAGGACGAUCAGCCACACGGGAACUGAGACACGGUCCCGACUCCUACGGGGGGCAGCAGUGAGGAAUAUUGGGCAAUGGGCGAAAGCCUGACCCAGCAACGCCGCGUGGAGGAAGACGGCCUUCGGGUUGUAAACUCCUUUUACGGGGGAAGAGGAAGGACGGUACCCCGAGAAUAAGUCACGGCUAACUACGUGCCAGCAGCCGCGGUAAAAC
rnacentral:rRNA from 1 species